rnacentral:rRNA from 1 species
AGAUCAAAUUGUUGGUCGUGCCUUGGUACGUACUGGCAUUAUUGAUUUCUCCCUUCUGAAGAACCACGAUGUCAUUAAUUUGGUGUCAUGGGGAAUCAGGACUGUUACUUUGAAAAAAUUAGAGUGUUUAAAGCAGGCUAACGCUUGAAUACAUUAGCAUGGAAUAAUGAAAUAGGACGUUUGAUUCUAUUUUGUUGGUUUCUAGGAUCGACGUA